AGCGGUAAAAGCUCAAAUUUGAAAUCUGGCUCUUUUAGAGUCCGAAUUGUAAUUUGUAGAAGAUGCUUCGGGUGUGGUUCCGGUCUAAGUUCCUUGGAACAGGACGUCAUAGAGGGUGAGAAUCCCGUAUGUGACUGGAUACCUAUGCUCAUGUGAAGCUCUUUCGACGAGUCGAGUUGUUUGGGAAUGCAGCUCAAAAUGGGAGGUAUAUUUCUUCUAAAGCUAAAUAUUGGCCAGAGACCGAUAGCGCACAAGUAGAGUGAUCGAAAGAUGAAAAGCACUUUGGAAAGAGAGUUAAACAGUACGUGAAAUUGUUGAAAGGGAAGCGCUUGCAAUCAGACUUGCACUUGGUGUUCAUCAGGGUCUCGUACCCUGUGUACUUCAUCAAGUUCAGGCCAGCAUCAGUUUGAGUGGUUAGAUAAAGGCUUAGAGAAUGUGGCCCUCUUCGGGGGGUGUUAUAGCUCUAGGUGCAAUG
rnacentral:rRNA from 1 species